GAUUAACGCUAGCGGCAGGCCUAGUACAUGCAAGUCGAACGGUAACAGGUGUAGCAAUACAUGCUGACGAGUGGCGCACGGGUGCGUAACGCGUAUGCAACCUACCUAUAACUGGGGGAUAGCUCAGAGAAAUCUGAAUUAAUACCGCAUAAUAUUAUUGGGAGGCAUCUCCCGAUUAUCAAACUCCGGUGGUUAUAGAUGGGCAUGCGUGACAUAGUCUAGUUGGUGAGGUAACGGCUCACCAAGGCUACGAUGUCUAGGGGGUCU
rnacentral:rRNA from 1 species